GUGGUCACAAAUAUCCACCAUAGCUUCCACUUGCAACCCUCAUCUCAUGCUCGGAGACUUGUGCUUCCCCACCUUCUUCCUCUCAAGAUGCUCUCAGGAGAUGACAGCAGCUUCCAUCUUAGCAACAGAGGACUCAGGUACAUGAAACAGCAGCCAUCGGAGGGCAUUGAAGGCCUUCGCAUUCUCAUACAUCACAAGGAGCAAGGAGCCAAUGUUGUGGUGAAAGCUAAGAUGAUGAUGAUGAUGAUGCCGACGACGACAACAUGCAAUCUGAACUCUCAGGCUUACCAUCUUCCAAAGGGUUUGCCAUGGUUGGCCUUACUGAAGAAAUGCUGCUUGUGCAGGAGGGAGCUGAGCCCUGCCAAUGAUGUUUACAUGUACAGGGGAGACAAGGGAUUUUGCAGUGAAGAAUGCCGGUCUCGCCAAAUUCUACUAGAUGAACGGAGAGAGUUCGAAGCGGCAACAAGGGAGAGAUUGAAGCUACCUCGUGCCGGCAAUGAGAUUGGCGAAUCAGAUCGAAGCAGGAGGAUACCGACACUGGUUUAAAGAAUUCUUCUAUUGAGCUAGAAAGUUUGAAGAAGAUGUUAUGAAUCCAAUAAUCCGUUUUUUUUUUUUCUCCUUUUUUUUUUUUGGUUAAAGGAGAAGAUGUAACAUUUUAUUUUAGCGUUGUGUGUAUGUAUAUAUAUAUAAAUAAAUAAAAUGUAUUUAUUUAAUGAUACAGAAAUAGUCUGCAUCAGAUGCAGAUUUAUCUUUGUUCA